AGAAACUUAGGCUAAUUCAAAACCAAAGGCCUUCAAAGCCUUAAAUAAGAGUUAAACUCUCUUAGUUUCUG
rnacentral:tRNA from 1 species